AUUUUAUAUGUUGUUAAUCCAAAACAAGUAUGUUGACUUCCCUUGAUUAUUUUGUUAAAAAAAAGCAAUUAAUCGGACAAACAUUUAUUCUUUUUAGUGGACCCACUUAAUUAUUUUACACUAAUAUUAGAUGUAAUAAUCUUUUUGAGCUACAAAAUUUAGGUCAAGAGUUGGUUGACUAGUUCAAGAAUGCAACCUAGUAAUAAGAGAUAUUAUAAAUAAAGUUAAAUCUUGUGAAUAUGAUCACUUAUUGCCUACGUGAGUUUAUAAGAAUUAUAUUUGACUAGAUAGGGCUAAAAAUCGAUUUGGAUACUGUCAUGAUAGUUAAUAUUUGAAUCCGCCUUUUCGUUGAUGGAUAUAGACAUUAGUCAAAUGCUAAAAAAUUAUAUCCAUGUAUGUUGAUGUAGAAAUGGAUCGGAUCGGAUAUUGUUGUAUCCAUUUUCAAACCCCAUGGAUCAAGGUGAUGAAGGGAUGGUAGGUGAGCAAGAUUGUAGAAAGAUAAAUAUGGAAAAAGGGAGAGAUGUGCGCUCCAGUCUCUGAUAUGUGUUUUGUGUCAGAGAGAGCUUUUAGAUGGGAAUUUAUGUUUAAGAGAGAAGGUCUGAGAUUAUUGGUAGGUAGGAUGGGACAUGGUUUGAUUAGGUAUGAAUCAGGAACAAACCCAAAAAUAAACCUUCAUUACUGCGCAAGAGAUCUGCAAGAAUAUCCAAACUCCAAGGCUGGAUGGGGAUAUCAUGGAUAUGGCAUCUUAAGGCUCAUUGGUGUUCUAUUUGCUUACUUUGGAAAUUAGCAUGGGAAUGGCUACCUACCUUUGAGCUUUUGCACCAUUGUAGCCUCACUUCUCCCAUAUGCCAACAUUGCCAUGACAGAACUAAGACAUCGAUCCUUUGUUCUUCCAUCAUCCCAAGGUUCAUCAUCUACGGGAACAUGCCCAACCCCCCCACCCCAGCCUCGAUUGGAUUGUAUCAAACUUAAAUAAAUUGGUCCACCCCUUAUCUUCUAGUGCAGGACAUAUUUUGACAUCAUUGUAGGCUGCCUAUACUAGCAAGUGCUAUUCCUCUAUGUACCUCCUCUGUACACAUAGUGGAGUUGACAACUGCAUGGAGGGGGAUAUCUAUUGCAAUUUCAUCACUUGGUGAUACAUAAAUUUGGUUGGACAUGGAGUCAACAACAAUUCAUAGUUUGGAUUUAGGGAACAUCAUUGCUUAAGCAUCCCUACUUGAUAGACCUCUGGAACAUUGCUUACUCCCUCUAGGACUUUCAUUCUUCACAUAUCUUUCUAAAGGGCUAGCUAGCUAGCUUCAGAUCUCCAUGGACCUUAUGUAUUUGAUUACUGUUAAUUCCAUGGACCUUUGUAUUAUAGGCUGUAAUGAGGCUUACCAACUCUAGAAAAUGAAAAUACCCACAAAUAAUCUAUUCGAUGACAUCACAUAUCAACAAAAUCCAAAGAAAUAAACUAUAAUUUCUUAGAUGUAACAUUUUACAGGAACAAAUGUAAUAUUCUAUUCAACGGAGUAAAAAAUUAACACCAACUAUAAGCAAGGUUUAUUGUGCUAGUACCGGAACUCAUAUUAGUUGCCUGGCGGUAUGGUAUGGAACCGUGCUGUUCCAUUCUAGGCCCAUGCCGACACAACUAAGCUGGCAAGGGAGGGGGGAGAGGGAGAAGGAAAGGGAGAAAAAAGAGAGAGGGAGGUAGGGAGAGGGAGAGGAAGGGACGAAGGGAGGGAGAGGGAGAGUGAGAUAGGCCAAGAGGGGGGGGCUUUCGAGCCUACAUCUUCUUCGGUGCAUGA
rnacentral:lncRNA from 1 species